UAUAAAUUCAAACUAUGCUUCAAGCACAUUCAUACUCUGCUGAUAAAUGAGAUACAAACAGUGUAGAAUUUCUGUGAAAUGAACAAUGACCAGUACCUGGAUUUUAAUGUUGAUCUUCAGCACCAUGUAUACAGUCCAACCUGGUAGACGCUGGGUUACUGCACAAUCCCUCACAGAGUCACCAGUUUAUCAGCCUGAUAAAGAGCUCAGUGUGGAUAUCGGAGACUCGGCUACUCUACGGUGUUGUAUUUCUGAAAAAGAAGUUGGGAUAAUUAUCUGGUUUAAGCAAACAAACAGAAAAAAACCUCAGAUUAUAGUCACAGUAUAUAAAAGUGGUGGAGAAGCAUUUUACAAUGAAUCCCAAAAGUCUCAUUUCCAAAUAGAAAGAUCUUCAAACUGCUUCAAUAUGACCAUUUUAAACAUCAUUCAGUCUGAUGAAGCCAUGUACUACUGUGCACUGAAGAGAUCUAACAUGGUGUUUGCAGAUGGAACUUAUUUAAAAAUUAAAGGUAGGAUUUCCACUAAAAUUGAUUAAGCUACAGGUUUAAUGUAGUUUUAUUCUUUCCUGCAUUACCAUUAGCAUGUUUAAACUGGAGGACAAAUAUACAAAUAAUGAAGUAGUGAAAUGCUAAUUGUGUUUUCUUCAACAACACUGAGUUACAGACUUUUAUUGAAUUAUGAUAAAUGUUUAUAGGUGAUCAUGUUACUAUUGCAUCAGAAACAUCUACACCAGCUCUGUGUGAUAAUUCAGUGGUGUGUGAACCAACACUGCAUGGAAACAACACUAACAUGAACACACACGAGAAAACAGGUAAGAUGUAAUUCAUAAUUAAUUCAUAGUGCAUAAUUCAUCUUGAAAAUUAUUUGCACUAAUGUAAAUGUAAUGUAAUGUAGUGAAAUAACAGAAUCAGAAAUGAUCAGAUCUCUACAUUCGACAGUGCUCGGUUUGGGAACGGCUUUGGGUUUGUGUGCACUUCUGAUUUUAUCUCUCAUUUAUUUCAUUCUGAGGAGACGAAAAUGUGAUAAAAUGGACCGUUCGAUAGAAAAAUCUCCAGGAAUGGGGCAGAAAGCUCAUGUCAACAGCUUGGCUUUUGAAGCUUUGGAAUUGUUCAAGUGGAAAAUCCAACCUGGAGGAACGGAUCAUUUGGCGUACACUGAUGUGACGUAUCUGAAACUGUAAUAUACAGUAGAACAUAAAAUGACCAAAAACACAUCAUUAAUAGCUAAACUGCUGCCAUGCUACAUGUGUUACUGCUAUACUGCAUUCACGUGUGC